rnacentral:rRNA from 1 species
AUGAACACCAUGGAUUUGGAGGGGAAGAAGAUGUUAAUUCGGCCCAACAUAGCCGAAUCAACUAAUAAGAAUAACAUUUUCAUUGGUGAGCCCAGGAAAAAUAAGGAGAGCGGCAAGGUCUUGGGGAGACAAGUUGUGCUUGACAAGAGACCCGAUGGCAAGGAGAUAAUCAAGAUCACCAUCAAGAAUCCUACACUCGGGGGCAACCACAAGUGCAAGAGAAUACUCAUGUCAAAUUUGUUAAGCCCAAGAGUCCGGAGGUUGGCAAGUGGAAGACGAAUGAAGCUAAAGUGCAGCGCAAGAAAAUCAAGCCAACUUUUGAUAUGUUGUUGUCCAAGUAUGCCAAUCAAGCGGCCGGUUCUAGCUCUAAUCGGUCAUCAAAUUUGA